GACUGGAUAGCUCAGUUGGUUAGAGCAUGGUGCUGAUAAUGCUCUAGGUCAGUGUUUCUCAAACUUGGGUCUCUGGCUGUUUUUGGACUACAACUCCCAUCAUCCUUAGCUAGCAGGCCCAGUGGUCUGGGAUGAUGGGAAUUGUAGUCCAAGAACAGCCAGAGCCCCAAGUUUGAGAAACGAUGGUUGUGGGAUUGAACCCCAUUUGGGACA